rnacentral:lncRNA from 1 species
AUUGGAUCUGUAAUUAAUCUUAUCAACUCACUCUAAAGCUGUGGAUUCAUUUAUUUGGCUCUUCUAUAGGAAAAGUGAGUUUCCACUAGUAAGAGCAACAAGCAAGUGUAAUGAUACCUCCAGGUAGUGUUAAAUUUCAUUGGCCUCUAUUGUUUUAUCAUACUCCCCCCCCCCCCCAAUUUGUAAUUUCCCUAGUUUCUCUUCUCCAUUAUCUUGUAUAGUGGGUAAUACACUGAGAGAGUUUGGCGGGUUGUUUUAAAGGGCAAACAGGUGCCAGUGCUCUAAAAUGCUGUUUCCAGUCCUCAGAAAAUGCACUGUAAGGCAUUUAGCAAAUUAUAAAGCCACUACCUCUUAAUUUAACUAGAGAGGUGGAGAGAAUAAUAUUUAUCCCUUACAAAUAAUAUUUAUCCCUUGUCUUAGAAAGUUCAGUCCAACCAAUUGACUAGAGUUAACAAUACUGAUCGCCUACUUAUAUAAAACAGAUUGAACACUUGUAGUUCGUAUUGAUCUUGUGGACUCAGGUCCUCAGAAAUUAAAUAACUUUGGUAAACUAGCUUAGUAUCAAAUCAAAUCUAUCUUAUCCAUUUAGCAAUUUGACCAGAUCUUUUUUUGUGUUUUCCCCUGAAGAUAAAGAAGUCUAAGCUGAGUUUUUCAAGCCUUGGGAGGAGAUCAGGCUUUCAUCAGGCCUCAGAAAGAAUCCUCUGCGAUUAUGAAGAUAGAGAGAAACGUGCUGCCAAAAAGCCAAACCACGAUGAAAGUGCAUGUUUGCAAUCUCCUCAUUUCUUACAUCCCACAAAUGUUGGACGCUCAAAAACUUUUUUAUUUUUACGGUGUAUUCUAAGCUGGGAUAUGGGAGUGAAUGUGUACCAAGAUUUCUUUUAUUACAAAGUGGAUGAGAAGGAAAUUUAAUAAUGCUAUAACUGCUUUAAAAAAAAUGUCAGCUUUGAUGAAGUCAAUGGCAAUUAAACAUUACACUUACAAAUAAAUUGAACAGAGCAUCUGGCUAGCCUGUAAGU